CUGGCUCAGAACGAACGCUGGCGGCGCGUCUUAAGCAUGCAAGUCGAACGGCAAGAGGUAGCAAUACCUCCUAGAGUGGCGGACUGGUGAGUAACACGUGGGUGACAUACCCUUCAGAUGGGGAUAGCUAUUAGAAAUAGUAGAUAAUACCGAAUACGAGCACAGGGGUUAGAGAUCUGUGAGGAAAGGAGCUAAGGCUCCGCUGAAGGAAUGGCCUGCGGCCCAUUAGCUAGUUGGUGAGGUAAGAGCCCACCAAGGCGAUGAUGGGUAUCCGGCCUUAGAGGGUGAACGGACACAUUGGGACUGAGAUACGGCCCAGACUCCUACGGGAGGCAGCAGCUAAGAAUAUUCCGCAAUGGGCGAAAGUCUGACGGAGCGACGCCGCGUGGAUGAAGAAGGCCGGAAGGUUGUAAAAUCCUUUUGAAACUGAAGAAUAAGCGUUGUAGGGAAUGACAGCGUGGUGACAGUAGGUUUUGAAUAAGCAACGGCUAAUUACGUGCCAGCAGCCGC
rnacentral:rRNA from 1 species